rnacentral:rRNA from 1 species
CCGCACGCGCGCUACACUGAUGCAUUCAACAAGCCUAUCCCUAGCCGAAAGGCUCGGGUAAUCUUUGAAACUGCAUCGUGAUGGGGAUAGAUUAUUGCAAUUAUUAGUCUUCAACGAGGAAUGCCUAGUAAGCGCAAUUCAUCAGAUUGCGUUGAUUACGU